rnacentral:rRNA from 1 species
GACGAACGCUGGCGGCGUGCUUAACACAUGCAAGUCGAACGGUAAGGCCCUUUCGGGGGUCCACGAGUGGCGAACGGGUGAGUAACACGUAGGUAACCUGCCCACAACUUUGGGAUAACGCUAGGAAACUGGUGCUGAUACUGGAUAUGUACUCCUUCUGCAUGGUGGGGGUUGGAAAGCUCCGGCGGGUGUGGAUGGACUCGCGGCCUAACAGCUUGUUGGUGGGGUAGUGGCCUACCAAGGCGGCGAGGGGUAGCCCGCCUGCGGGGGUGACCGGCCACAUUGGGACCUAGGUGAGGCCGAGGCUGCUAAGGGAGGGAACAGUGGGGAAUCUUGCCCAAUGGGCGCAAGGCGGAUGCAGCAACGCCGCGGGCGGGAAGACGGCCUUCGGGGUGUAAACCGCUUUCAGCAGGGACGAAGCUUUUUGUGACGGUACCUGCAGAAGAAGCACCGGCUAACUACGUG